CGGGGGGAGCUAAGCGUUGUUCGGAUUUACUGGGCGUAAAGGGCGCGUAGGCGGCGCAACAAGUCACUUGUGAAAUCUCCGGGCUUAACCCGGAGCGGCCAAGUGAUACUGUCGUGCUAGAGUGCGGAAGGGGCUACUGGAAUUCUCGGUGUAGCGGUGAAAUGCGUAGAUAUCGAGAGGAACACCUGCGGCGAAGGCGGGUAGCUGGGCCGACACUGACGCUGAUGCGCGAAAGCCAGGGGAGCGAACGGGAUUAGAUACCCCGGUAGUCCUGGCCUUAAACGAUGGAUACUUGGUGUCCGAGGUUACAUAGCCCUCGGGUGCCGGCGCUAACGCAUUAAGUAUCCCGCCUGGGGAGUACGGUCGCAAGACUG
rnacentral:rRNA from 1 species